AUCGCAAAGUGAAAACAGGCGAUAAAUCAUUCAAGUUUCUGACCUAUCAGCUUUCGACGGAUGGUAUUGGCUUACCGUGGCAGUGACGGUUAACGGGGGAUUAGGGUUCGAUUCCGGAGAGGGAGCCUGAGAAACGGCUACCACAUCUAAGGAAGGCAGCAGGCGCGCAAAUUACCCAAUUCUAACAGUUUGAGAGAGGUAGUAACAAGAAAUAACAAUACAAGGCAAUUAAAAUGCUUUGUAAUUGGAAUGAUAGAAAUUUAAACCCUUUUUAAAGUAUCAAUUGGAGGGCAAGUCUGGUGCCAGCAGCCGCGGUAAUUCCAGCUCCAAUAGCGUAUAUUAAAAUUGUUGCAGUUAAAAAGCUCGUAGUUGAAGUUCUGCUAAAAGUAACCGGUCUGCUUUUAAUAAAAGUGGUAUCUUGGUGUGUAUUUAGCAAUGAUGUCCUUUGAAGUGUUUUUUACUUUAUUGUAAUAAAGCAUAUUCAGGACUUUUACUUUGAGAAAAUUAGAGUGUUUCUAGCAGGCCGACGCUUUGAAUACUGCAGCAU
rnacentral:rRNA from 1 species